rnacentral:rRNA from 1 species
UAGGGAAUCUUCGGCAAUGGGGGGAACCCUGACCGAGCAACGCCGCGUGAGUGAAGAAGGUUUUCGGAUCGUAAAGCCCUGUUGUUAAGGAAGAACGAGUGUGAGAAUGGAAAGUUCAUGCUGUGACGGUACUUAACCAGAAAGGGACGUCUAACUACGUGCCAGCAGCCGCGGUAAUACGUAGGUCCCGAGCGUUGUCCGGAUUUAUUGGGCGUAAAGCGAGCGCAGGCGGUUAGAAAAGUCUGAAGUGAAAGGCAGUGGCUCAACCAUUGUAGGCUUUGGAAACUGUGUAACUUGAGUGCAGAAGGGGGGAGUGGAAUUCCAUGUGUAGCGGUGAAAUGCGUAGAUAUAUGGAGGAACACCGGUGGCGAAAGCGGCUCUCUGGUCUGUAACUAACGCUGAGGCUCGAAAGCGUGGGGAGCGAACAGG